GACGAACUGCCCAAACGUUGUUCGGAAUCACUGGGCUUAAAGGGCGCGUAGGCGGGCAUGCAAGUCAGGGGUGAAAUCCGGCAGCUCAACUGUCGAAGUGCCUUUGAUACUGCAUGUCUUGAGGGAGGUAGGGGUCCGUGGAACUUCUGGUGGAGCGGUGAAAUGCGUUGAUAUCAGAAGGAACGCCGGUGGCGAAAGCGACGGACUGGAUCUUUUCUGACGCUGAGGCGCGAAAGCUAGGGGAGCAAACGGG
rnacentral:rRNA from 1 species